CUUUAUUGAGCCAUGGGGUGUCACUGUAGGACCGUUCACAUCGCCUCUAAUGCGUUCUGCAGCGCCUUGAGGAUAAUGGUGUUAUUGGUUUGUUGCAGAUGUGGGGCGUAUUGGGAUAGGCAUCUGCUAUUAUAUCAGGUGCUCAUUUGCUGUGCUACCCAAGAGCCACAUGACAACUGGUCCUCUUCACUGGGAAUUCCUACAGAGAGCAAGGGCUACAGAUAAUCAGGAGCUGGCGGGGACACUCUACACUCCUCGGUCCUUUUGGAGAAGUUUUAGCAACGACUGAGCAUGAGGAAGCGAUCAUCAUAGCAGAGAUUGAUUGCUCUAUUCUUGAGCAACGAAGGACAAGUCUUCCGUUGAAUAAACAGCGGCGUGGUGAUCUCUACCAGCUUGUAGACUUACAACGUCUAAAUUCUUAGAGAUGUCACCUUUUAAAUUGUGUGAGCGAGCACAGUUUGGUUGCUUGCAACUUCUUGAUCAGUCAUUUCUCUGCAAUGCUAUGCAGAGAUGAAAUAAAUAAAUAAACUUGAUCCUUGCGUGACUGCGUGUACUGAGAUGAAUACUAAUGGAUGAUGACCAUAAUGUAUACAAAGGUGUUAACUGAAACGAUAUCUUUU